UACAGAGGGUGCGAGCGUUAAUCGGAAUUACUGGGCGUAAAGCGUGCGCAGGCGGUUUUGUAAGUCUGACGUGAAAUCCCCGGGCUUAACCUGGGAAUUGCGUUGGAGACUGCAAGGCUGGAGUCUGGCAGAGGGGGGUAGAAUUCCACGUGUAGCAGUGAAAUGCGUAGAUAUGUGGAGGAAUACCGAUGGCGAAGGCAGCCCCCUGGGAUAACACUGACGCUCAUGCACGAAAGGCGUGGGGAGCAAACGAGGAU
rnacentral:rRNA from 1 species